rnacentral:tRNA from 1 species
GCCCAGGUAGCUCAGUGGUAGAGCACCUCCUUGGUAAGGAGGAGGUCGCGAGUUCAAGCCUCGUCCUGGGCU